UUUCCGUAGGUGAACCUGCGGAAGGAUCAUUCAUAAUAAGUGUUUUAUGGCACUUUUUUAAAUCCAUAUCCACCUUGUGUGCAAUGUCAGGGUUGAUUUUUCUCUCGAGAGGAUCAACCCCAAACAUCAACUAUAUCUCAACUCUUUGUCUGAAAAAUAUUAUGAAUAAAGCAAUUCAAAAUACAACUUUCAACAACGGAUCUCUUGGCUCUC
rnacentral:misc_RNA from 1 species